CCAGCCUUCUCAAACUUUAUUGUACACAGGUAUCAGCGGGGGGCCUUGCUAAAAUGCAGAUUCUAAUUCAGUAGGUCUGGGAUGGAUCCUGAAAGACUGCAUUUCUAACAAGCUUUCAGGUGAGGCCGCUAACAAGCUCUCAGGUGACGCUGAUGGUGCAGCGAAGUUCUGGCUUUCAGCGAUUUCCCCUGGUUCCCAACCGUUUUCCCCUGAUUUGGGACAGGAAUAAGAAUGAAGUAGAGCCGAAAAGUGGCUUCAUUCUAUGGCUUUCCGAGGCGGUGGAGGAGGAAAAAAAGAAAAGAAAAGAAAAAUGAGAAACAACAAAAGAAAAAUCAGGGCAGCUUUCUUGUGACAUCCCAUGUCCUGAGUCCCUCGCAGCUACGCCCCCGGCGUCUGAAGAAUGACUGAUGUGACAGGUGCCCCGGUUCGAGGUGAGCUCCGGAGAAGGUGUGGGGGAGUUUGGAAACAGACAGACAUAGAGGGAAGACAAAGACAGAAAUAUGGUCAUCUAUAAGCCAAGGAGAAGAGGCCUGAAACAGAUCCUUCCCUCCCACCCCUUGAAAGGAACCAACACUGCCAAGACCUUGAUAUUGGACAUCAAGCCUUCAGAACUGUGAGCCAGUACCUUUCUAUUGGUUAGGCCACUCAGAUUGUAGCACUGUUUUACACCAGCCCUAGCAAACUAAUACACAACUAGUGCUAAGUAUUGAAGCUUGGUUAUGAAAUCUUGAAGUUCAAUACAGGAAGUGCAAUCAUCCUAGAGAAAACAGAAAAAUUCAGUCCUAACAACUGUUGCAAUUUCCAUUAGAGAACAAAAGCUUUUAUACAUUUUUAAGCAUAUAUUUCAUGGUUUUAGUUUCCUUUCUGCUAUAAUACCUCAUAGGAAUUUAAAUGAUGACUUUUCUAUAUCCCUAAGUUCUAACUCCAUAGCUUAACUUUUCAGGAUCUUUGACAUGAUCUUAGUCUAACUUUUCAUGCUUAUAUCUCACUGUUGUUUUUCAUAAAUUACAUGACCAAGUCAAAUUGGGACACUAGUCCCAAAAUAGGCCUGGGUAUUCCAAUCUUUGUUCUCUUCAUCUCUCUAUUUAGAAUGGCCUUUCCAUUCUUCAUCAUCAUACUUUGAAAAAUCCAAAGUUAAAGUCUUCCUUCAGUGCCCAGUGAAAAAACCUUCACUUCUAAGAAUCUAAAUGGUUCUGAAAUACCAUUUUAUAUUUUUGCUUCAUUGAUUUUUAUUUUACUUCUCUGGCUUUAUGUAAUAUGCUCUUAUCGACUUUAAGUAAAUUAGGGCAAGAAGCAACUAGUACAGGUAAGUGUUAUUUUGGUUUAUUCUUCCAAAAGUGGAGACUGAGAUAAGAGCUUUGGGUGCAGGUCAUUUGUUUGGAGAAGUAGUCUCAGGGCUCAAGAGUAAGGAGACUGAGAAGAAUGAAACAAAGAAGAAAGAAAAGCAAAUCUCAGAGUGAGUAAGCCUCAGUCCCACCAGGAACUCAUCGAGGAAUGGUGUAGAACAUAAUUAUGUUUACCCAAGAAUAAAAGACAGCAAUAUUUAUCUAAUAGGUCCCAUCCCUUAAGUGGUCAAAAAAUCUCCUCAAGGUAUAUCUCUGGCACUUCCAGGUUUAUGCAUCUAUCAGAAUGGUUUAACAGGCUUCUACAAAUAUCAUGUGCAGUGCUACUAAUGAAGCCACAGGGCAUAAACUGAGAGAUACAUGGUGCAGCUAUGACAAGAUGCUCUCUGACUACACCUGCCCAGAGCUAGCAGUUAGACUAAAAGGAUAGACAGGGAGACUUAUUCAUGAAUAUUAAAAAAAUCUGAUAAAAUUGUGCUAGAAAACAUAUCUAACAUGGCCCAUUCCUUGCAAUGUUCUAAUCUGUUCAUGCCCUAGUUUAAUAGUUCCUAAAGACAAGAAUACUAUGUAUAGAAACAGUACAUGUGGACUGUAUUCCUCCUUCUGAUCAAAGGAGUAAAGUCACCCGUGCAUGCUAGGUUAGGCAGCUAGAAUCUCAGCAAGAUAUCCAGCCACAAAAAAAAAAAAAAAAAAAAACAGACUCAGAAUUUCCAUU